CCUACGGGGGGCAGCAGUGAGGAAUAUUGGACAAUGGGCGCAAGCCUGAUCCAGCCAUGCCGCGUGCAGGAUGACGGUCCUAUGGAUUGUAAACUGCUUUUGUACAGGAAGAAACACUGGUUCGUGAACCAGCUUCGGUACUGUAAGAAUAAGGAUCGGCUAACUCCGUGCCAGCAGCCGCGGUAAUACGGAGGAUCCAAGCGUUAUCCGGAAUCAUUGGGUUUAAAGGGUCCGUAGGCGGUUUAAUAAGUCAGUGGUGAAAGCCCAUCGCUCAACGGUCGAACGGCCAUUGAUACUGUUAGACUUGAAUUAUUAGGAAGUAACUAGAAUAUGUAGUGUAGCGGUGAAAUGCUUAGAGAUUACAUGGAAUACCAAUUGCGAAGGCAGGUUACUACUAAUUAUUGACGCUGAUGGACGAAAGCGUGGGUAGCGAACAGGAUUAGAUACCCGAGUAGUC
rnacentral:rRNA from 1 species